CGGCUCAGUAACACGUAGUCAAUCUGCCCUAUGGACGUGGAUAACCUCGGGAAACUGAGAAUAAUCCGCGAUAGAUCAUAAUGCCUGGAACGGUUUAUGGUCCAAAUGAUUCGUCGCCAUAGGAUGGGACUGCGGCCUAUCAGCUUGUUGGUGAGGUAAUGGCCCACCAAGGCUAUUACAGGUACGGGCUCUGAGAGGAGAAGCCCGGAGAUGGGUACUGAGACACGGACCCAGGCCCUAUGGGGCGCAGCAGGCGAGAAACCUUUGCAAUGUGCGCAAGCACGACAAGGUUAAUCCGAGUGUUUCCUGCUAAAGGAAUCUUUUGUUAGUUCUAAAACCACUGAUGAAUAAGGGGUGGGCAAGUUCUGGUGUCAGCCGCCGCGGUAAAACCAGCACCUCAAGUGGUCAGGAGGAUUAUUGGGCCUAAAGCAUCCGUAGCCGGUUCUGUAAGUUUCCGGUUAAAUCCACUAGCUCAACUAAUGGGCUGCCGGAAAUACUGCAGAACUAGGGAGUGGGAGAGGUAGACGGUACUCGGGAGGAAGGGGUAAAAUCCUUUGAUCUCUUGAUGACCACCUGUGGCGAAGGCGGUCUACCANAACACGUUCGACGGUGAGGGAUGAAAGCUGGGGGAGCAAACCGGAUUAGAUACCCGGGUAGUCCCAGCUGUAAACGAUGCAGACUCGGUGAUGCACUGGCUUUUGGCCAGUGCAGUGCCGCAGGGAAGCCGUUAAGUUUGCCGCCUGGGAAGUACGUACGCAAGUAUGAAACUUAAAGGAAUUGGCGGGGGAGCACCACAAGGGGUGAAGCCUGCGGUUCAAUUGGAUUCAACGCCGGAAAGGGCGAAUUCGUUUAAACCUGCAGGACUAGUCCCUUAG
rnacentral:rRNA from 1 species